CCUACGGGAGGCAGCAGUGAGGAAUAUUGGUCAAUGGCCGUAAGGCUGAACCAGCCAAGCCGCGUGAAGGAAGAAGGAUCCAUGGUUUGUAAACUUCUUUUAUCGGGGAAUAAAGGCAUCCACGUGAGGAUAUCUGCAUGUACCCUAAGAAAAAGCAUCGGCUAACUCCGUGCCAGCAGCCGCGGUAAUACGGAGGAUGCGAGCGUUAUCCGGAUUUAUUGGGUUUAAAGGGUGCGAAGGUUGUUUUUUAAGUCAGCGGGUAAAGUUUGUGGCUCAACCAUAAGAUUGCCGUUGAAACGGGAAGACUUGAGAGUGUUAGAGGUAGGCGGAAUGCGUGGUGUAGCGGUGAAAUGCAUAGAUAUCGCGCAGAACUCCGAUUGCGAAGGCAGCUUACUAGGCCAUAACUGACGCUGAGGCACGAAAGCGUGGGGAUCGAACAGGAUUAGAUACCCGGGUAGUC
rnacentral:rRNA from 1 species